ensembl:lncRNA
CAGAGGGUUAUAGGGCAAUUUCCAAGCAGUUCCUGUGAAUUUGCUGGAGCAGGCAAAGGGCCUGCUUGGCUGGGCCCCUUGCACGUAGGAUGGGGGCUCCUCGCCUUGCUCUCUGAGAGGUGGAGGACAUGACUGCGAGCCUCAUAGACUCUGGCUUGAAGCUUCACCACUUCUGAGCUGGGUGCCCUUCGGUCUCAGUUUCCUCAUCUGUGAAAUGGGGAUAAUAGUCAUGCCAGCCCUGUAGGGUGGCUGAAGUACAUGAGACCAGGCAUGCGCAUUGCUUAGCUGGGCUUGGCCUGAACCAAAUGUCCGUUAAGCAGGAGUUGUUGCUCUUCUAGCCCCUGCAACACCACUUAGCAGCUGUGCAACCUUGGGUAAGUCACAUGGUCUCUCUGGGCUAGGUCUCAGUUGCUCCUCUGUAAAAGGGCAUGCGUGCGUGCUCAGUUGUGUUUGACUCUUUGCAACCCCAUGGACUGUAGUCUGCCCUUUUCCCCUGUCCAUGGGAGUCUCCAGGCAAGAAUACUGGAGUGGGUAGCCAUUCCCUUCUCCAGGGGAUCUUCCCAACCCAGGGAUCAAACCCAAGUCUCUUGCAUUUCCUGCAUUGGCAGGUGGAUUCUUUACCACUGAGCCGCCUGGGAAGCCCAAAGGGGACAUAAUGUCAACCUCAAAGGCUAUUGGGAAACCUUAUAGAGGCUCAACAUGUAUUGACUGAUUGGGGCUGGGAAGCUGGGUGGAUGGGGACUCAUCUGCCUGAUGCCUGGAAACAUCAGAUCCAAGUUAGUGGCACCUGGGAAGGGCUCAGGGCAAGUGGGGGGAGGGAAGCCACCGGCCUGGGAAAGUGGAGGAUGGAGAGGGGAAAUCCCAGAGGCUUCGUAGAGGAGGAGGAGCCCGGCCUAGCACUGGGCCUCUGCAGAGUGGGGGCCUUGGCACGGAUAUGAGGCCUGAAUUAACUAGGGAGGUGGUUUCAGGUGGCAGUGACAUUCAGGUGUUGAGCAAGGAUGUGUUCAAGGUACCAUCAGAGGAGGCUGGGCCGGGCCUUCCAGUCACUCCCCCCGAGGCAGACUCCCGAGGAAACCCUGGGCCCCUCACAGAGGGUACAUGCAGCUGGGGGCUCCUGAGCCUGCCUUACACAGAACCGGAGACCAGGAGAUGCAGCGACUGGCCCAUGGCCACCAAGCAGGCCCAGCAAGGGGAGAGGUGGAAGCUGCCCAUGAGGGUCUCAUGCCAAGAGCCCCAGGCUCCCAGGCCGCCUGCCCUGGG